rnacentral:rRNA from 1 species
GACGAACGCUGGCGGCGUGCCUAAUACAUGCAAGUAGAACGCUGAAGGAGGAGCUUGCUUCUCUGGAUGAGUUGCGAACGGGUGAGUAACGCGUUGGUAACCUGCCUGGUAGCGGGGGAUAACUAUUGGAAACGAUAGCUAAUACCGCAUAAGAGUAGAUGUUGCAUGACAUUUGCUUAAAAGGUGCAAUUGCAUCACUACCAGAUGGCCCUGCGUUGUAUUAGCUAGUUGGUGGGGUAACGGCUCACCAAGGCGACGAUACAUAGCCGACCUGAGAGGGUGAUCGGCCACACUGGGACUGAGACACGGCCCAGACUCCUACGGGAGGAAGCAGUAGGGAAUCUUCGGCAAUGGACGGAAGGCUGACCGAGCAACGCCGCGUGAGGGAAGAAGGUUGUCGGAUCGUAAAGCUCGGUUGUAAGAGAAGAACGAGUGUGAGAGUGGAAAGUUCACACUGUGACGGUAGCUUAACAGAAAGGGACGGCUAACUACGUG